rnacentral:lncRNA from 1 species
UUAUCAUAUCAGUGUGCACAAGUAAACAACAACAACAAGAGUCAAUUCAAGUCUUAGAGACUAACAUACAUGAGUGAAUCACACAAGAAAGAAAGAGAUGGAUUUUUGUAUGUUAUCCAUAUAAGGCUCAAAAUCUCACAAGGUUAAUUGAUCUAUCACAAAUGAUGUACAAUUUAGAGUUUAGUCCUACUUAUCAUACUAAAAAUGCACACUAUAUUUUUCACAUCACACCACAAGACUUUAGUCAAGAGAACUAAGAAAAAUACUCAUAAUGAUAACUCAAAAAACCAAAGGAAAAAGCAUGCAAUUUUUUUAAGAAAACAAACAAAAACAAAAACUGAAAACAAAACAAACAAAACAAAACAAAUAAAUGGUUCUCUCCCCCACACUUCAAAUAAACAUUGUACUUAAUGAAAUAGCAUAAAUAUAAAAUAAGAGUGAGAUAAAG